GAGCGUGAGCUGUGCAGUGAUGCUGCUUUUGGUGGGGGCCUUAAUCCUGCCCAGGCUGCAAGCUGGGGCGGCGCUUCUGGAGCCCGUCGGUGCUCCAAGCGAGGGCGGCCUCCUCAAAUGCAUGCAGAAUGGCAAAGGAUGGUGAAAGGGAGCUCCAUGGAGCCAAACCUCUCUUCCCAGAGCCGUUGCUGAAGGUAAUUGUGUUCUGCGCAGGUCCCAUCCACCUGCUGCCAGGUGCCGUGUCUCAGGCCGAGCCAUAUGAAAACAGAAUGGUUUAAAAGUCACAUUUUUGUGAAACAAUGGAGAAACACAUUAAUCCUGGAUGAGAAGUUAUCCUACUAAGAAGAAAUGAAUCUAGUCAAGUGCCAUGACUUCUGGAGACACAGGGGAGAGCCUUGUUGUGUGCUGGGGCCGCUGUGCACACCACUGCCAGAAGACGAGCUGGGCAGGCUCCGCGGGGUGCUGCCGCCCUCCUGAACGCCUCUGCACAACCCGGGUACUUUUGUAUGAAGCCUGCAAAAGCACAGUUAUUUAACCCAAUAUAUAGCCACAGUACCCGAAGAUGCACACCCUGUUUGGGCUGCCCUGGUGUGUGCAGGCUGUUAUGUGGGGACUGCGAUGGGGACUGGCCUGCAAGCGGUGGCACGGGGAGUGAAUGGACCUGUUAAUUCAUUAGUCCGAACGCAGCGCAGCAUCUUCCCAUUCUGUUGUUUGGCUUGAGAAACUAAAGUCCAUUUUACAGCUGAAUUUUAUGUGAUGCUGGAGGAGGUAUUCUUGAGAUAAAAAAUAUUAUCCACCAGAGACUGAUAUGAGAUGAUAAAAGCCAUUUUAUUUAUGGUAUUUUCAGCUAUCUUGUCAGUAUAAUGUAUAGCAUCAUGGGAUUUAUUUUAACCUUGCUCUAAGAAGUGGAUUUUCCCUAUACCUGUCCACUGAGCCAUGGCUCUCGUGUGCUGAUUUUUGAUGCUGUGAUUUAUGUUCAGCUUUCUGGGUCACAAUAGCUGUGGCAACACACUGCAUAUUACGCCUCUCCUAGAAGUAUAACCAUGAAGA